rnacentral:rRNA from 1 species
UGUGCCAGCCGCCGCGGUAAUACGUAGGGCGCAAGCGUUAUCCGGAUUUAUUGGGCGUAAAGGGCUCGUAGGCGGCUCGUCGCGUCCGGUGUGAAAGUCCAUCGCUUAACGGUGGAUCUGCGCCGGGUACGGGCGGGCUGGAGUGCGGUAGGGGAGACUGGAAUUCCCGGUGUAACGGUGGAAUGUGUAGAUAUCGGGAAGAACACCGAUGGCGAAGGCAGGUCUCUGGGCCGUCACUGACGCUGAGGAGCGAAAGCGUGGGGAGCGAACAGGAUUAGA